ACUGGCACCGAUACCGAUACCGGCACCAGCACCGGCACUGGCACCGGCGCUGGCACCGACACCGACACCGGCUCCGAUACCGGCACCGAUACCGACACUGGCACCGCCACUGGCACCGAUACCGACACUGGCACCGGCACUGGCACCGACACUGGCACCGGCACUGGCACCGACGCUGGCACCGACACCGACACUGGCACCGACACUGGCACCGGCACUGGCACCGACACCGGCACCGACGCUGGCACCGACACCAACACUGGCACCGACACCGGCACCGACGCUGGCACCGACACCGACACUGGCACCGAUACCGACACUGGCACCAACACUGGCACCGGCACCGACACCGGCACCGACACUGGCACCGCCACUGGCACCGCCACUGGCACCGCCACUGGCACUGACACUGGCACCGCCACUGGCACCAAUACCGACACUGGCACCGGCACCGACACCGGCACCGGCACCGGCACCGGCCUGGCCGAGCCCCGCACCGAGCGCAGGCAGCAGCGGCGCCGCCGCGGCCCGGGAGGGUCCCACGGGAGCCCCCGGGGACCGGCGCCCCUCGGCACCGCCGGGCGUUCGCCACACGGUUCUCUUUGCCAGGAAACCUCCCUCGGCCGCGCCGGCCCGGAGCGAGCCGGCGUGCUCCCGCCACAGGGAAUGACUCGGCUGCCGCUGAAGCCAAGGAGAGCAAGGAGAUGCUCCCGAGUGUUCUCCAGACUCCAUUAAACUUCCCCUGCAAGCAUCAUUUAACUCCUGGAGUCUUUCCCUGAAAGGCUGAUUGGAAUUAAAGCAGGAGGGGGUGGGAAUGCAUCCUGGUCUCUGCUCGCAGGUCUGCAGCAAGCCACAGCUCUGCGUUUGAAAUGAAAUAUUUAACUCGUGAUGGUGGAAAAAAAUUGACCCUUUUUUUGCUGUCAAAAUUAAAUUUGCUUAAGGAAGCCAUUUGUCCUGGAAAACUCUGCUGGAGUUAUAAACAGCUUAUCUGAUAAUCCUGAGUAUUUUCUGCUGCAUUUAUUGUGUGGUUCCUGCUGUGCAGCCCCUGGGAUUUUGGCUGCUGUGGGACUGGUGCCACUUGGCUGCUG
rnacentral:lncRNA from 1 species